rnacentral:rRNA from 1 species
UACAGAGGCGGCAAGCGUUGUUCGGAAUUAUUGGGCGUAAAGAGCACGUAGGCGGCUGUGUAAGUCGGUUGUGAAAGCCUUCCGCUCAACGGAAGAACGGCAUCCGAUACUGCAUGGCUUGAGUGUGGGAGGGGAGAGUGGAACUUCUGGUGGAGCGGUGAAAUGCGUAGAUAUCAGGAGGAACACCCGUGGCGAAGGCGGCUGCCUGGUCCGUAUCUGACGCUGAGGUGCGAAAGCUAGGGGAGCGAAC